UACGUAGGGUCCAAGCGUUAUCCGGAAUUACUGGGCGUAAAGAGUUCGUAGGCGGAUUUUUAAGUCGGAUGUUAAAUAUGCAGGCUCAACUUGUAUGCUGCAUCCGAUACUGGAAGUCUUGAGAGUGGAAGAGGUAAGCGGAAUUUCCGGUGGAGCGGUUAAAUGCGUAGAUAUCGGAAGGAACACCAAUGGCGAAGGCAGCUUACUGGGCCAUUUCUGACGCUGAGGAACGAAAGCGUGGGGAGCGAUCGGG
rnacentral:rRNA from 1 species